rnacentral:misc_RNA from 1 species
GAUGAAGAACGUAGCGAAAUGCGAUAAGUAAUGUGAAUUGCAGAAUUCAGUGAAUCAUUGAAUCUUUGAACGCACAUUGCGCCCGCCAGCAUUCUGGCGGGCAUGCCUGUUCGAGCGUCAUUUCAACCCUCGCAGCCCAUCUGGGCAGCGGUGUUGGGGACCGGCACCACCGGCGAAGCCCUUAGGGACCCAGCCGGCGCCGCCCCCGAAAUACAGUGGCGGUCUCGCUGCAGCCUCCCUUGCGUAGUAGCACACCUCGCACCGGAGCGCAGCGCGGCCACGCCGUAAAACCCCCGACUUUCUGAGUUUGACCUCGAAUCAGGUAGGAAUACCCGCUGAACUUAAGCAUAUCAAUAAGCGGAGGA